GCCUGUGUAGCUCAGCGGUUAGAGCAAUUGCUUGAUAAGCGAUAGGUCAGUAGUUCGAAUCUACUCACCGGCACCA
rnacentral:tRNA from 3 species